GACGAAUCUAUUUGCAGCCGAGCCUGCGCAUUACCGUGCGCGGGGGAGGGCUCAGAAAAGAGGAAUCC
rfam:Hydrogenophaga sp. LPB0072, complete genome.